ACAGCGAGCUUGGGGAGAGGAAGAGACGCGGAUGACCGUGUGCCCCCGAGGAGAUCAAAGUCCCGGGGAAGAGCCGCAACCUCACCGUGCCUGGACAUAGACAAACAAUUCAGCGAAGGAUCCAGAGAUGGUGGAAAAAGCAAAGUCAGGCUGACAAAUGAAGGGGUCCGCUUUGCAGCCCAGCUCCUCCCAGCAUGGUCCCUACCCUGGGAGCUACUUAAUACAUGUUCACAGAAUGACUCAGUCUUCCGGGCAAAGGGCACGAACAUGCCUGAUGCAGAGAGGUGUUCAAGCCACCCUUCAGCUAUCAGCCUAUCUCUUCCCUUCCUUUCCAUAUCAACCUUCAAAAAAGUAAUGGUUUGGCGUUCUCGUCAUGGCUCAGCAGCUACGAAUCUGACUAGCAUCCAUGAGGAGACAACCUGGUCGCCAUGGUCUAUUGUGCCUGAUGUCUGGAAUACCUCGCUUCUGCCCCCUCCUCAUACCUUUCCCAGAGGCUCUCACCAUCUCUUGCUAGGACUAUUGCAGUAGCCUUCUAACUUCUCUCUCAGUGUCCAAGCAUUCCAGCCCAUCUUCUGCAAGCCCACAAGGAAAAUCACUGAAACCCGCUCUUGAUUAUAUCAUUCAUCCGCUUGAGAGUGUCCAGUGGUUGAUUUCUCUGCUGCUUCCAGGAGAAAGUCCAAACUCUGGCCUGACAGGCCUGUGAAGAGCAAGGUUUAAAGACCAGAUCAUCCUUCAAUGUGGCCUAUUUUGAUUACUGACCCUGUACAGCCUAGCCCUCUUUCAGCCUAAUCUCCAGCCUUACACACUAGAGCCCCGCCCCCGGCCCCAUCCCCGCCCCUGCAAACACAUCAAGCACAUCCAGGACUCCAACCUUUGUGUAUGUAGCUCCUUCAACCUGGAAUGUACCCUCCAUCCCAUAGAAUUCCUUAAAGGCAAAGAGCGUCAAUCAUCUCUGUACAUCCAGCAUCUCCUAGCCUAGUACCUCGUACAUAAUAGGAACUCAGUCAUUUAUUUAUUUAUUUAUUUAUUUAUUUUUGCCCAUGACUGUGGCAUAAAGAAGUUCCCAGGCUAGGGAUUGAAUCCAAGCCACAACAGUAACCCGAGCCACAGUAGUGACACCACCAAGUCCUUAACCACUAGACCACCAGGGAACUCCUGGACUUAGUAAACUCUGAAUGAGGAGCUCUGACUUUAAAGAAGGCCCAGCUCAAGACACAUGUACUCCAAUGUUCAUUGCAACACUAUUUACAAUAUCCAAGACAUGGAAACAACCUAAAUGUCAAUCAACAGAGGAGUGGAUCAAGAAGAUGUAGUACAUAUACACCAUGGAAUAUUACUCAGCCAUUAAAAAGAACAAAAUACCGGCAUUCUUAGCAACAUGGAUGGACCUAGAAAGUAUCAUGCUAAGUGAAGUCAGCCAUAAAAUGAGACACCAACAUCAAAUGCUUUCACUGACAUGUGGAAUCUGAAAAAAGGACAGACUGAACUUCUUUGCAGAACAGAUGCUGACUCACAGACACUGAAAAACUUAUGGUCUCCGGAGGAGGCAGUUUGGGGGGGUGGGGGGAUGGGCUUGGGCUGUGGGAUGGAAAUCCUGUGAAAUCAGAUUGUGAUGAUCAUUAUAUAACUACAGCUGUGAUAAAUUCACUUGAGUAAUAAAAAAAAAAAAGAAAGAAAAAAAAAAAAGGAAGGCCCAGCUCUCAAAUGCUGUUUCUCCUGAUCUGUGCCCACUUUGACCCCAAUUAGAUGUGAUUGUUCCCUCCAGCCUUCAUCACUUAAAUAUAUCAUGAGUUCCUGCUAAGUACCAGGCACCGUGCUAACAGAGAGGGC
ensembl:lncRNA